UACAGAGGGCCCAAGCGUUGUUCGGAUUCACUGGGCGUAAAGGGUGCGUAGGCGGUCGGGUAAGUCUGAUGUGAAAUCUCACAGCUUAACUGUGAAACUGCAUUGGAUACUAUUCGGCUUGAGAGUUGGAGGGGGGACUGGAAUUCUUGGUGUAGCAGUGAAAUGCGUAGAUAUCAAGAGGAACACCAGUGGCGAAGGCGAGUCCCUGGACAGCUUCUGACGCUGAGGCACGAAAGCUAGGGGAGCGAAUGGG
rnacentral:rRNA from 1 species